rnacentral:tRNA from 1 species
GGACAUUUAUCUCAGCAGGUCAGAGAACCCGGCUCAUAACCGGGCGGUCCUGGGUUCGAACCCCAGAAUGUCCA